GUGCUCCUGUCUGAGUUUCUGUGUCCUCAUCUCCUCUUCUUAUAAGGAUACCAGUCAGGUUGAUGAGAACCCACCCAAUGACCUCAUUUCACCUUGAUUGCCUCUUUAAAGACCUGCAACCACAGUUCUGUUCUCAGGGACUGCGGUUAGAGCCUCAUCACGUAUAAUCUGGGAACAUGAGUCAGGCCCCAACGGCUGCACAGCCUGUCUGCAAAGCUGGUUGCUCACGGGCGGCUGGAGGACAGGGCUCAAGGGCUGCUUGCUGGAGGAAGCCCUUGUGUUUUAAUUCAAGGGGGUGAUUUUUAUCCCCACUUUCCAUUCUGGUUCAGUGUUAUCUAGCACAGCAGAACCAAAGAAUUUGCUAAAUAUUGACAGAAAGACGAACAAAUUACUGGCUAUUCAGCUGAAAAGAAAACAUUCACCUUCAUUCCCUAAGGCUGCCUGGCAUGCGCCCAGUAUGUCUCUGAAGCAGCCAAGGCUUCAGCUAAGGACGGACCUGCCUCUGCGAGCCAGGAGCGUCCCCAUGACCCCGGAGCAUCCCCACAACCCUGAGAAGGAAGGGGAUCUUCCCAGGAUUGAACCUGCAUCUCUAGUGUAUCCUGCAGGAACAUAAUCCACCAGCAUGAUCACAGACGAUUUGUUACCACGCCAGGGAUACAUAUUGCUCACAAGACCUAAGAGAUCCACGGACCCCAAACAGACGCCAGCCUAUCGUCCCAGAAGUCAGGGAGCUUGGAUAUGACGACCCCAGGGCGUGACAGUCCUGGCGUGACCACUUCGGGACAAGAAAACACCCCCACCCAGCGUGGAGGAGGAGCUGAUGAGGGGAGCAUGACAUCUACUCAGGAAGGAGGAAAAAGGCGGUCUUCUCCCCUUCCCCACUUCCCUUUGAGUAUAAGACUGUAGCCCACCAAGUUCUCAGGGCAGCACCCUCUCCACCCAUCUGUCUGUAGGCCUCACAAGGGUCCUAUUCUAAUAAGUCACUUCUUUUCUCUCACUUUGCCUCUCGCUGGAUUCUUCCAGCACUGAAACAUAGAGAACCGGAGCUCCCUGGAGUCCGGAGACCCAUUUCAGCGGUUCAUUUUCUCUGUCCUUGCUGGGGCAGAGAAACUGAUCUCCUUUGAUGUUGAGGAGGUAUGUCUCCACUGUCUUUCUCAAUUCCAGUAUUAGAGCAUUCUGAUCCUGUAUGCUUGCUGUCAGCGCCUGUUUUAAUCUUGCAGUAUAUUUAGACUCUUCGCUUUAUUGCUCAUUGUCUUGAGGAAUCAGGUUAGUGGGAGGAGAGGCAUUUAAACCAGAAGCUAAUGUUCUUCAACUUUGAAAAAAACAAAAAAAACUGCAUUUUAAAAGAGUCUUUUUCUCACUCCCACUCUUUCUCUUCUAACGAAAUUCUUUAGAAGACAUUGCAACUCAAGCACUAUUUUUCUUACUUUCUUAUUUUUUCUCUCCCGUUUUUUGGUUUUUACUGUUAUAUUUUCAUUUCUUCUGGUAGGUUUUCUCUACUCUAUCUUCCGAAUUUCCAACUGAGUUUUUUAGUUUCAUUUCUCACAUAUUCUGUUGUACAAAGCUCUUGUUUCCUCUUUGUGCCUUACGGUAUAAUUUUCUUGAAUAAAAUAUCAUCUCUUAUUUCUCUAAGGGUUUUAAGUAUAGUUUUACUGUUUUAGGCUAACGUGUGUAUUAUCAUUUUCUUACUAAAUUUCUUUAUUAUUUUCUUAUUUUGCUCCUUUUUACUUUUUUAAUCAUUGAGUGUAUGACUUGACUUCUGGCAAUUUGCUCUUUAGUCCAUCUCUGCAACUCCAUGGACUGUAGCCCACCAGGCUCCUCUGUCCGUGGGAUUCUCCAAGCAAGAAUAUUGAAAUGGGUUUCCGUUUUCUUCUCCAGGGGAUAUUCCCAACCCAGGGACUGAACCCACAUCUCCUGUGUUGCAGACAGAUUCUUUACCUGCUGAGCCAUCCAGGAAACCCUACUGGUGGUUGUUGGUUGUUAAUUCACAAUUAAGAAUGAAACAUUCCGACUUCUCUGGUGGUCCAGUGGUUAGGACUGUAAGCUUACAGUGUAGCGGGCGUGGGUUCAACCCCUGAUCAGGGAAAUAAGAUCUUACAUAGCCUUUGAUGUGGCCAAAAAAAUAAAAAAAUAUUUAUUUUUAAUAUGUAGCUGAUGCGCAUAUUAAAGCAACUAAAAAGAAAAACAAAACAAGAGACAUUAACAAGUCUCUUGGAACCCCUUCUCAAUGGACAGGACUUAAAGUGGAAUCAGCAGGGAGCUGAGGCCUCUGGUACCUCCCUGGCCUUGAUAUUUCCCUGAAGCUGUUGGGUUUCUUUAGAGAAGGGUCCCCAUGUCCCAGCUGGAGGGGAUGCCAGGCACCAGGCGGAGCUGAAGUGGCACAUUGCCAUCCACCUGUGGAAUUUCUCUCCAUUCUCCUGAUUUCUUCACCCUUUGCCAAGUCCAGUGAGUGUGGGUCCAACGUGGCUCAUGUCCAGCAGGGUGUUUUUCCUCCAUUAGCUUGAAGAACAGAACAAUGCAAAAUGUUCUAUAAAACAAAAAAAGGAAAAAUAAUUAAUUACCCAAGUCCUGACAAUGAUUUAAAAGAGACUAUGUAACAAACAUCUCCAUUUGAAUCAUGUUAAACUGUAAUAUUUCACUUGAACUGAAGACCAGAAUUCAUAAGUUCCUUCCCUUCACCCAGAAAUAAGGACACAGCUCAUUUGUGACAUGAGUGCCAGGCAGCCAUGAUCAUGUGGAUUUGCAGUCCAAUUUCGUCCAUACCAGAAGACCAGAAAGACCGAAGUCUGCAAGCUUAGCCCCUAGUCAGUGCUCAGAUACCCAGAUGCACACUUUAGGAAACAGUUGGUUAUUUCUUUGAAACAUGCACUGUGAACACUAAGUUA